GUGUCGAAGCGAAGCUGAAGGAUCAACACCGUUGUCGUUGUCCAGCGUGUGUGACCAGGUUGUUAAAGACUGGGCUAUUUUUGUUCAUACAAGCUGGAUCUCUGCGAGGUUUAAUUUAACCCCGUGCGGCUCAUCACAUUUCUUUCACCGGAAAAGUACCUUUCUGGAGAGCCUGCCGUCAGACACUCGAGCCAGUGAAGGCAGUGGGCGUGCAGGCAGCUGCGGCAGCCCGGAGAUCCCACCUUUCUCCCGCUCUCCUCUGUACACUGCCGUUAACACGCUGGCAGUGCUGGCGAUCCGGCUGCAGCUGCUGCUGCUACUGCUGGUCAAGUAA
rnacentral:lncRNA from 1 species